rnacentral:misc_RNA from 1 species
AACGCACGAGACCUGCGGACCUGCGGAAGGAUCAUCACUGAUUCGUCGGGGGAGAGCAGCGUGUGUGUGCGUGCGUUCGCGCGCGCACGCCACCCCGCCACCCCAACCAAUCUUUUGUGCACGGUUUCACGGUCAACGAGAGACGCCGCGCGUGUGUUGGCAAGUCGCGUGUCCCCCUCCUCCCCCGCAAUGUGGUGUGGGGUGGUAGUGGUGAGACUACUUACUUGCCAACCGCAUGCG